UUACGGGGGGCAGCAGUGGGGAAUAUUGGACAAUGGGCGAAAGCCUGAUCCAGCCAUGCCGCGUGUGUGAAGAAGGCCUUCGGGUUGUAAAGCACUUUCAGUGGGGAAGAAAGCCUUGGGGCUAAUACCCUCGAGGAAGGACAUCACCCACAGAAGAAGCACCGGCUAACUCCGUGCCAGCAGCCGCGGUAAUACGGAGGGUGCGAGCGUUAAUCGGAAUUACUGGGCGUAAAGCGCGCGUAGGCGGUCUGAUAAGCCGGUUGUGAAAGCCCCGGGCUCAACCUGGGAACGGCAUCCGGAACUGUCAGGCUAGAGUGCAGGAGAGGAAGGUAGAAUUCCCGGUGUAGCGGUGAAAUGCGUAGAGAUCGGGAGGAAUACCAGUGGCGAAGGCGGCCUUCUGGACUGACACUGACGCUGAGGUGCGAAAGCGUGGGUAGCAAACAGGAUUAGAUACCCGGGUAGUC
rnacentral:rRNA from 1 species